rnacentral:rRNA from 1 species
UACGUAGGGUGCGAGCGUUAAUCGGAAUUACUGGGCGUAAAGCGUGCGCAGGCGGUUCUCCAAGUCCGUUGUGAAAGCCCCGGGCUCAACCUGGGAAUGGCAGUGGAAACUAGGGGACUGGAAUCUGGCAGAGGGGGGUGGAAUGCCGCGUGUAGCAGUGAAAUGCGUAGAGAUGCGGCGGAACGCCGAUGGCGAAGGCAGCCCCCUGGGCUGAGAUUGACGCUCAGGCACGAAAGCGUGGGGAGCAAACAGG